rnacentral:rRNA from 1 species
UACAGAGACUGCAAGCGUUAUUCGGAUUCACUGGGCGUAAAGGGUGCGCAGGCGGCCAAGUGUGUGAGGCGUGAAAGCCCGGGGCUCAACCCCGGAAUUGCACCUCAAACUACAUGGCUAGAGCAUUGGAGAGGGUAGCAGAAUUCAUGGUGUAGCAGUGAAAUGCGUAGAUAUCAUGAGGAAUACCAGAGGCGAAGGCGGCUACCUGGACAAUUGCUGACGCUCAGGCACGAAAGCGUGGGGAGCAAAAGGG